GAUCAUUUUAUAACCUUCACUACCUCCCAGUGCCUUAGCAGUCAUCACCACCAACAAUCCCUACAGCAAUCAGAUAAUGGAGACUCUUCCGGAAAUCCAGUUCAGUCUUCGUGAGUAUUCCUCACUGAUCAUUCACAAUGGACCCAGCCUAAUGACCACUCUGUCUGUUGGGGAGAUCCCUUCUGAGACGAUACCCCUCUGCUGACCCUCCGAGGACCUGAGUUGGAAGAGCUGACAGGACUGCAGAUGAAAAUAGAAGUCUGUGGAUGUGGCGUAAGUGUGCGGAAGAGAAACAGAUCACUCAGAAAUGCUCUGCUCAGAAAUCCACUGUGCUUCUCUGAAAACUGAUCUAAGAAGACUUUCCUUGCUAAGAUGUUAAGAUAUGGGUGAUGAUGUAAAUGUUUCAGGACAAUUUGAAGGGUUAGAGCUUGGAUUAAGAAGCAAUUCCUUUCUCCUAACUCAGUCCCUGCCGCUUGGAUGCUACUGUUCAGAGGGUGUAUGAGGUCACAGAGGAGCAAGAAUCUGGAGCAAAUGUUACCAUGGCUACCACUUAUUGAGGACUUUGUGCCUGGAACUGUGCCAAGCCCAUUAUGUGCAUUAUCUCAUUUACCUUGACAACUCUUAGGGUUACGUAACAUUAAUGUUCUUAUUUUAAUAGAGAGGUUGAGUAGCUCGCUCAAGAACACAUUCUUAGCUUGCAAAAGUGAAACCCCUUCCCACAAGCACUGUGCUUUCUAGUAAGACUGUCUCCUUAGUCAAGUCCAAGGAUAAUGGGGCUGGAGGGUAGAACCUAGAGGCGAAGGUUUGAGUCACCUUGACGGGAUUCCCUGAAGAGAGGGGGCAAAAGACCCAGGACUCUAUCCUGGGUAGCGGAAAGGCGUGGACUCUGAGGUCAGAGACCUGGUUCAAAUACUGCUCUGGCACUUAGAACUGUGCCCUCAACAGGCAAGGUAUUCAACCCAUUUAGCCUGCUCCUCACCUAUCAGAUGGUAAUAAUAAUGAUGUCCAAAAGAUCUCCCUCCCUAAUUUGGUUCUCAUACUGUAUCCCUUAUUUGUAGGGUAUGUAUGUGUAUAUGGCACAUAAGAAGUGCCACCAAAAUGGUAUUUAUUAUUUGCAAUUCACUCAUUUAUUCACAUGACAAAUAAUUAUUGAGAGACUACUCAGUUAAUGUAUUGAUUAUUGAUCUUACUCCACAAGCACAGUGCCUGGGGCUUAAGAGCUUUUUAAGUGCUUCUAAGAAUAUUUGAUACCUAAAAUUAAAUUCUAAGACAGGAAGCAACUUCCUAUAGAUUCGAAGUUAAUAAAUGUUAAAAUUAAGUGUUCACUGAACUAGUAUGUCAACCAGUCAGCUGUUGACAAUUUAACUCUUUUAUGUUUAUGUAUAAAUAAUAAUUUUUGUACUACAUGAACAAAAUGAAGAAUUU